AUUGAAUGCUGGCGGAAUGCUUUACACAUGCAAGUCGAACGGCAGCACGGACUUCGGUCUGGUGGCGAGUGGGGAACGGGUGAGUAACAUAUCGGAACGUAUCCAAUAAUGGGGGAUAACGAGUCGAAAGAUUCGCUAAUACCGCAUACGCCCUACGGGGGAAAGCUGGGGACCUUCGGGCCUGGCGUUAAUGGAGCGGCCGAUAUCUGAUUAGCUAGUUGGUGAGGUAAAGGCGCACCAAGGCGACGAUCAGUAGCUGGGCUGAGAGGACGACAAGUCACACUGGAGCGGGGGCACGGUCCAGAGUGCUACGGGAGGCAGCAGUGGGGAAUUUUGGUCAGUGGGCGCAAUCCGGAUCCAGCCAUUCCGCGUGAGUGAAGAAGGCCUUCUGGUUGUAAAGCUCUUUCGCAAGGGAAGAAAAGUUAGCCACUAACAUUGGUUGAGGUUGACGGUACCUUGAUAAGAAGCACCGGCUAACUACGUGCCAGCCGCCGCCGUAA
rnacentral:rRNA from 1 species